rnacentral:hammerhead_ribozyme from 1 species
AUCCAGUCGACGAGUACCAAGAAGGACGAAACGCACGUCCUGGAU